GACGAACGCUGGCGGCGUGCUUAACACAUGCAAGUCGAACGGAAAGGCCUGCUUUCCCUUGUGGAUUGCGGGUACUCGAGUGGCGAACGGGUGAGUAACACGUGAGUGAUCUGCCCCCAACUUGGGUAUAAGCCUGGGAAACUGGGUCUAAUUCCCGAUAGGACUGCAGGGUGGUGCCUGUGGUGGAAAACAAUUUUCUAGUGGUUGGGGAUGAGCUCGCGGCCUAUCAGCUUGUUGGUGGGGUAAUGGCCUACCAAGGCGGCGACGGGUAGCCGGCCUGAGAGGGUGGACGGCCACAUUGGGACUGAGAUACGGCCCAGACUCCUACGGGAGGCAGCAGUGGGGAAUAGUGCACAAUGGGCGGAAGCCUGAUGCAGCGACGCCGCGUGGGGGAUGACGGCCUUCGGGUUGUAAACUCCUUUCGACCGCGAGGAAGCCACCUGGUUGGAAGGGUGGUGACGGUAGUGGUAGAAGAAGCACCGGCUAACUACGUG
rnacentral:rRNA from 1 species